UACGGAGGGGGCAAGCGUUGUUCGGAAUUACUGGGCGUAAAGAGCUCGUAGGCGGCUUGUCACGUCGGUUGUGAAAGCCCGGGGCUUAACCCCGGGUCUGCAGUCGAUACGGGCAGGCUAGAGUUCGGUAGGGGAGAUCGGAAUUCCUGGUGUAGCGGUGAAAUGCGCAGAUAUCAGGAGGAACACCGGUGGCGAAGGCGGAUCUCUGGGCCGAUACUGACGCUGAGGAGCGAAAGCGUGGGGAGCGAACAGGAUUAGAUACCCGCGUAGUC
rnacentral:rRNA from 1 species